rnacentral:rRNA from 1 species
UGACUGUGCUAAGGUAGCAUAAUAAUUUGUAAUUUAAUUGGUUACUAGAAUGAACGGUCUGACGAAAAGUAACCUUUCUUAUGUAAAGAUCUAAAUUUAUCUAUUAGUAAAAAAGCUAAUAUUUAUUAAAAUGACGAUAAGACCCUAAAACCUUAAAUAAUAUUUUUACUGGGGCGGUAAAUUACUCAGCGUAAUUUUUUUGAACAUAAUAAAUGAAUUUAACUUUCUAUCUUUAAAUCCAAAAAGGUACUUUAGGGAUAACAGUAUAAUUCUUAUAGAGAGUAUCUUAUCGACAUAAGAGAUUAUAACCUCGAUGUUGAAUUGAUAUACCAUUACUAAGCAGCCAUAGUAGAUGUAAGUCUGUUCGACUUUUUAAAUAUCACGUGAUCUGAGUUCAGACCGGAGCACAGUCA